UACCAGCACCCCGAGUGGUCGGGACGUUUAUUGGGCCUAAAGCAUCCGUAGCCGGUUCUACAAGUCUUCCGUUAAAUCCAGCUGCUUAACAGAUGGGCUGCGGAAGAUACUAUGGAGCUAGGAGGCGGGAGAGGCAAGCGGUACUCGAUGGGUAGGGGUAAAAAUCCGUUGAUCCAUUGAAGACCACCAGUGGCGAAGGCGGCUUGCCAGAACGCGCUCGACGGUGAGGGAUGAAAGCUGGGGGGAGCAAAACCGG
rnacentral:rRNA from 1 species